AGCGAACGCUGGCGGCAGGCCUAACACAUGCAAGUCGAACGAACUCUUCGUAUUUAGUUGCUCACGGGUGUGUAACGCGUUGGAACGUUCCUUUUUAUUCGGAAUAACUCAUUUAAACUUGUGCUAAUACCGGAUGUGCCCUUCUGGUGAAAGAUUUAUCGCCAUUAUAGCGGCCCGCGUCUUAUUAGCUAUUUGGUGAGGUAACGGCUCACCAAGGCUACGAUCAGUAGCUGGUCAGAGAGGAAGACCAGCGACACUGGGACUGAGACACGGCCCAGACUACUACGGGAGGGAGGAGUGGGGAAUCUAGCGAAAUGGGAGAAAGCAUGAAGCAGCAAUGCUGGGAGAAUGAUGAAGGUGUUAGGAUUGUAAAAUUCUUUAACCGGGGACGAUAAUGACGGUACCCGGAGAAGAAGCACCGGCUAACUUCGUG
rnacentral:rRNA from 1 species